GGCUUGGUGGUCUAGUGGUAGAACACGUGUCCCUGGAUAGAGUGAAACGCAGGUUCGAUUCCCGCCUGAGGCCG